rnacentral:rRNA from 1 species
UACGAAGGGGGCUAGCGUUGUUCGGAAUUACUGGGCGUAAAGCGCGCGUAGGCGGACUUUUAAGUCAGGGGUGAAAUCCCGGGGCUCAACCCCGGAACAGCCUUUGAUACUGGAGGUCUAGAGGCCGAGAGAGGUGAGUGGAAUUCCGAGUGUAGAGGUGAAAUUCGUAGAUAUUCGGAGGAACACCAGUGGCGAAGGCGGCUCACUGGCUCGGUACUGACGCUGAGGUGCGAAAGCGUGGGGAGCAAACAGG